rnacentral:lncRNA from 1 species
UCGAGUUGAGAUGGGGCAACUGCAUGUGUAGUGCGAUCGAUUUAUCACUUUCAUUGGCUUCUUGCUACCCUUUUUAAUUUUCUUCGCUGUUCAAUUAGUUAGGUUGUAUCUACAGCCAGAUGUGCAGUCAAUACGAAUCAUACGAUCAAUCGAUCACCUAAGAGCACCCGGCCCAGGAAACAACGGAUCUUUAUGUCAUGUUUUGUACCAUUGAGAGAAAAGUAACGUACAUACACCAUCUUCUGCAUAUUUAGUUCAAUCGAGUGUUUCUAUUAUUCUCGACGUUAUCUAAGCUCGGACCAGAUAACCAGGUUAAAUGAGUACAUAUAUUCUGUCAAGUACAUGACUUUAGAACUUGUAAAUUAAAGGACACGAUCUUGAUGGUGUUAAGGGGAAACUUCUCCCUGCGGCGCUACUCUAUGCAGCCUGCUUUCAAGACAAUUUUUUUAGGGAAAAUGCCCAAAUGCAUAAAAACAGGGAUUUUAAUACCUACUUCAAUGUAAAUCUUUUCUGUUAGCCAAUUUCAAUGAUUCUUGUGCAAAAGACAUUAUUACCCUUUAUAGAAUUAAAACCCCACACAAAUCUCAUCUCUCUCUCUCUCUCUCUCUCUCUCUCUCUCUCUCUCUCUCUCUCUCUCUCUCUCUCUCUCUCUCUCUCUCUCUCUCUCUCUCUCUCUCUCUCUCUCUCUCUCUCUCUCUACACCGUCACUGCCCGGCAAGCCAUGAGGAAGAGUGCGUCAUCGCCGGCAAGCCAAGCCACGGAGCAGUGCGUCGUCGCCGGCAAGCCACAAGGAGGAGCUCCGAUCUCCAACUCCAAGCAUCUUCAUCAUGUUGUCUCGGUCCAACACGCCUUUGCCGACGAGUCGAUUUGCUUGAGGCUCGAGGAGAAGAUUCGAUCUCCAAGCAACCGAGCUCUGAGUAGACCGGAUCUGGUCGAGAUCUGAGCAGGUCGGAUCUGCUCCAAGCAGGCCGAGUUGGCGAGGACGACGGGGAAGCGAAGGCACGUGAGGGAGUCGGAGCAGUCCACUUUCAGAAGCUUGUUACCGCUCUGCACGGACUACAGACUUGGCGAGGACGACGGGGAAGCGGAGGCGCGUGAGGGAGUCGGAGCCGUCCACUUCCAGGAGCUUGUUGCCGCUCCGCACGGACUGCUUUAGGGCUAAACUGAGGAGCACCAAGAGCAGGCUGAGAGGGGGAAGAAAUUCCCGUUGGGUGCCCAGAGUAAAUUUUUAAUUUUUUUUUUUUACGAGAUCAGAGCAACGUUUCUUUGCGUGUGUGCAUUUUGUGUACUUAUGUUUUGUUUAUUUGGAUGUAAUUGUUUGCAUUUAGAGCCUUAUUUAUAUGAAAAUAUCAAUUUGGGGGUCAUUACUGGGGUCAGUAACUAUUAUUUAGGGUUAGUAGCUAUUAUUAGGGGUUAGUAAUCAAGUCAUUGGAGGUCAGUAAUUUGAUCAUUAGGGUCAGUAACUUGAUUAUUUUCUAGUAUUUCUUCUGUUCUAUUACAUUAAGCUGAAAUAAGUAGAUUAGUGUGGGUCAGUAACUAAUUAUUGGGGGUCAGUAACUAAUUAUUGGGGAUCAGUAACUCAGUUACUGGGAGUCAGUAACUGGUUACUAGGUGUCAGUAAAUAGGGGUCAGUAACUGGUUACUAGGUGUCAGUAAUUGGUUAUUAAGGGUCAUUAACUGGUUAUUGGGGGUCAGUAACUAGUUACAGGAAAAAUUCCGGUGACCGGAGUCUAGCGGUCGGGGAAAUUCCUGUGACUGGAGUCCGGCUGUCGGGAAAAUUCUGAUGACCGGAGUCCUGCGGCCGGUGACCAGAGUCCGGUGAGAUUCCCGCCAAGUAUUCUCUCUUUCAUUUUCUCUCUCUCUCUCUAUGCAUGUUUAAGAGGUGAGGGCAAAAUAGUCUUAAAAUAAUAUGGGUUGUUAAGACUUUAGUAAAGAUUUGUGCAUUUGGGCAUAAAGAUUUGUGCAUUUAGGCAUAAAAAGGGUUACCUUAUAUUGAAAUGGGCUAAUGAAAAAGAUUGUCAUUGGAAUGAAAAAUAAGAGGUUUAAAUUAAUACUAAAUGGACAUUUUUCCUUUUUUUAAAAAACAAUACACCCACCCACCCCCUGUGAGUGUAUGUGUGGUAUAUAGCGCUGCACAACAGACCCACCCAAAUGUCAUGCAAUUGUAUUUAUCAAACUUGUAAGCCUCUUUUCUUUCUUUGGUUGUUUUCCUUUUUAUAUAUUUUUAGUUAUAAUCUCGUGUGUACAAUGUUCUAGUUUUAGUGAAAAACAUUCACGGGCUCAUUCUCAUUGUUUCCUCUCAGAACAUUCCUCUCAUUAUCUAUUGUUAUUAGAAGUGCUUAAGUCCCAAAAAUAAAGACUUAAUUGCCAAUUUGUUAUCUUAAGAUUCACCUAAGUGUCAAUUUGCUACCUUUGCUUUUAUUUCUGUCAAUUUGCUACCCUAGCUACACAAAAUUAGCUGAUUUGCUACCUUAGCUUUUAUUUAUGUCAAUUUGUUAUCCUAGCUUCACAAAAUUAGCUGAUUUGGUUUCUAAAUUAACCAAUUUGCUACCUUUUGUCAUAUAAAUUGAUCUAUUUUUCCGUCCAAACAUUGAUAUCUUUUGAAAAUGUCGGAUAGCAAAUAGUUAAAUUUCAAUAUAUAGGUAAGCAAAUUGGUUAAUAUUGAAAGUCUAGAGUCAUAAAUUUGAAAUAAGGGUAGCGAGAUGGCUAAAAUAAAAUAUAGGGUAGCAAAUGGUUAAUUUUAAAAAGCAAGAGUAACAAAUUAACAGAAAUAAAAGCUAGGGUAGCAAAUUUACACUAAGAUGAAUUGUAGAGUAGCAAAUUAGCAAUUAUGCCAAGAAUACAUGAAGGGAAAGAUAUUGGUGUGUGAAUCAUACUCUCAUAUAUAUCCCUGGUUCAGAAGUGCUUAAGUCCCAAGAAUUUGGCGGAGUUCUGACCAAUCGGUCUAUGUUCUACAAUCGAUAAGCUGAUUUCAAAAACUGUGGCAAAGAAGUACCUAUCUGAGAACAUUUCUAUCGCUCGAUCAAAGUGCUUUUGUAAUAGGGAGGAACGUUCGAUUCCCGUUUUGAGACUAUUCACACCAUCAGAGUUCAGAAGAACACGGCGCGCAUCACCGAAAAUGAUAAUCAAGUUGGAUAUCAGCAAAGAUCACAAUCUAUCUAACGCAUGCAUUUUCAUUGAAUCUGUGAUGAAUAAAAUAGACAGUUCAGUACGGUAAGACAAACGUACCUGCUAACCAAGCCUAACCAAGCCUUGUUGUUAUCGGUCAAGCUAGCUAGUAAUCAUUGCUUAUUCAUAAUCAGAUAUAUAUUCUCUCCAAAUUUUGAAAAGGGAGUUGAGAUGGGGCAAGUGCAUGUGUGGUACGAUCGAUUUAUCACUUUCAUUGCCACCCUUUUUUUUUUGUUCGGUGUCCAAGAUAUUAAUCUGGUAGGACUUUAGAGUUUAGAUCUGUCUAUAUAUCUUUGUGUUUGUUAAUGGGGUUGGAGAAGUACUUAAUUUAAGAAUGAUAGGGCAAAAAAAAUAACCCUAAGAAAGAGAUAGACACGUACCAUCAUAACCAUUAGGUUGAAAUUUUUUUAGUACUUGAGAAUAUUGAAACUUCAUAGUUUAAAAUUGAUUGUUAAAUUAACUCCUUGAGUGACACACACGUACGACGAACAACUUAUAAUCUAACGGUUAUUAGCUUCAAAUUUCAAUACUCUAAAUUAAUCAAAAGGAAUAUGCUAGCAUAAUUCGCAAUUUACGUUAUGCAACUGAUUGCACUAGACCUGAUAUUGCAUAUGCAGUUGGAGUACUUUGCAGGUUCACAAGCAAACUAGGUAGAGAACAUUGACAAACAAUUGAGCGUGUCAUG